CCAUCUAUACAUGUGGUCAAAAUCUACUCUGUAGGCAGGGGCGUAGUUAUAGUGGAAGCAGGGGAGGCGGCUGCUACGAGUCCUGUACUCAGAACCAGCCCGCCCGGGAGGAGGACUAAAAAUAUUUUAUUGUCUGGGCCCCCGCAAUAGUAUUAUAAAAUGACAUG